AUUGAACGCUGGCGGCAGGCCUAACACAUGCAAGUCGAAUGGUAACAGGAAACAGCUUGCUGUUUCGCUGACGAGUGGCGGACGGGUGAGUAAUGUCUGGGAAACUGCCUGAUGGAGGGGGAUAACUACUGGAAACGGUAGCUAAUACCGCAUAACGUCGCAAGACCAAAGAGGGGGACCUUCGGGCCUCUUGCCAUCAGAUGCGCCCAGAUGGGAUUAGCUAGUAGGUGGGGUAACGGCUCACCUAGGCGACGAUCCCUAGCUGGUCUGAGAGGAUGACCAGCCACACUGGAACAGAGACACGGUCCAGACUCCUACGGGAGGCAGCAGUGGGGAAUAUUGCACAAUGGGCGCAAGCCUGAUGCAGCCAUGCCGCGUGUAUGAAGAAGGCCUUCGGGUUGUAAAGUACUUUCAGCGGGGAGGAAGGGAGUAAAGUUAAUACCUUUGCUCAUUGACGUUACCCGCAGAAGAAGCACCGGCUAACUCCGUG
rnacentral:rRNA from 1 species